rnacentral:lncRNA from 1 species
AGAGGAGCCGGAGAGGAGGCGUGCGGGUGGGGACUGCGGCGCACUCGAGUCAGCGCACGGGGAUCGCGGCUGUCACUGCGCUCCGAGCAUCCCGGGGCUUCCCGAGUGGACGAGCCCGGCCCUGCGGGAGUUGCGGGUCCAGCCCCAGCCCCCCGCCCCUCUCGCAGCGCUGGUGGAGCCUCACGCCCCGGGCGAGCGUUAGUGAUUUAGCACAAAGCACGUUUCCAAAAAGCCGCGCUCUCGCGCACGCACCUUCUCCCCCCUUUGUUUCGGGGGUCGACCGGCCGCUCUCCUCCCCAAGUCUGAAUUCUUCAGAAGGGGCGGAGGGCCGCCGAGUCUCGGCUGGGAAGAUGCCCUUGGAACUGACUCAGAGCCGGGUGCAGAAGAUCUGGAUCCCGGUCGACCACCGCCCCUCGCUGCCUAGAUCCUGUGGGCCGAAGCUCGCCAACUCGCCCACGGUGAUCGUCAUGGUGGGCCUCCCUGCCCGCGGCAAGACCUACAUCUCCAAGAAGCUGACCCGCUACCUCAACUGGAUCGGCGUCCCCACGAAAGUGUUCAACGUCGGGGAAUACCGGCGGGAGGCCGUCAAGCAGUACAGCUCCUACAAUUUCUUCCGGCCAGACAACGAGGAGGCCAUGAGAGUCCGCAAGCAGUGUGCGCUGGCUGCCCUGAGAGACGUGAAAAGUUACCUCACGAAGGAAGGGGGCCAAAUUGCGGUUUUUGAUGCCACCAACACUACUAGAGAGAGGAGACACAUGAUCCUUCACUUUGCCAAAGAAAAUGAUUUCAAGGUGUUUUUCAUUGAGUCUGUGUGCGAUGACCCUACAGUCGUGGCCUCAAACAUCAUGGAAGUGAAGCUCUCCAGCCCGGAUUACAAAGACUGCAACUCAGCAGAAGCUAUGGACGAUUUCAUGAAGAGAAUUAAUUGCUACGAAGCCAGCUACCAGCCCCUCGACCCUGACAAAUGUGACAGGGACCUGUCCCUGAUCAAGGUGAUCGACGUGGGCCGGCGGUUCCUGGUGAACAGGGUGCAGGACCAUAUCCAGAGCCGCAUCGUGUACUACCUGAUGAACAUCCACGUGCAGCCGCGCACCAUCUACCUGUGCCGGCACGGCGAGAGCGAGCACAACCUCCAGGGCAAGAUCGGAGGGGACUCGGGCCUGUCCAGCAGGGGCAGGAAGUUUGCCAGCGCCCUGAGCAAGUUCGUGGAGGAGCAGAACCUGAAGGACCUCAAGGUGUGGACCAGCCAGCUGAAGAGCACCAUCCAGACGGCCGAGGCCCUGCAGCUGCCCUACGAGCAGUGGAAGGCGCUCAACGAGAUCGACGCGGGCGUCUGUGAGGAGAUGACCUACGAGGAGAUCAGAGACACGUACCCCGAGGAGUACGCGCUGCGGGAGCAGGACAAGUACUACUACCGCUAUCCCACCGGGGAGUCCUACCAGGACCUGGUCCAGCGCUUGGAGCCGGUGAUCAUGGAGCUGGAGCGGCAGGAGAACGUGCUGGUUAUCUGCCACCAGGCUGUGCUGCGCUGCCUCCUGGCCUACUUCCUGGACAAGAGCGCAGAAGAGAUGCCAUACCUGAAGUGCCCCCUUCACGCCGUCCUGAAGCUGACGCCCGUCGCAUAUGGUUGCCGCGUAGAAUCCAUCUACCUGAAUGUGGAGUCGGUGAGCACACACCGGGAGAGGUCAGAGGAUGCAAAGAAGGGACCUAACCCGCUCAUGCGACGCAAUAGUGUCACCCCACUAGCCAGCCCCGAGCCCACCAAAAAGCCUCGCAUCAACAGCUUUGAGGAGCAUGUGGCUUCUACCUCCGCUGCCCUGCCCAACUGCCUACCCCCGGAGGCGCCCACGCAGCUGCCCGGACAACCUUUGCUAGGGAAGGCCUGCUUACGAACUGUCUGUCAUAUUUUCUCAAAGUUUUCUCCCUACUAACCUUGGAAAGAACGUGAAAGGCUCCCCCAGCAGCGCGGACGCCUCCAGGACGCACUGACGCAGCCCCGCCGCUGUGCCUUCCACUCCUGCAGCUUUGCUCGAGCCCUUGCGCCUGCCCGAGGCCAGCGAUCCCGAAGACUUCGAUCCCGAAGACUUCUCCCCGGGCAGCGCGGAGGAGGCGCUGCUGCGCCCGCACCCGCCAGGCAGCGUCGGGCACCGCCCGCCCCCGCUGUGCUCCCCGCGCUUCCGGCUGUGUCCCCGCCCCUCGGACGGACGAUGCGCGGCGGAGGCGGAUUGUGGGCGCUUCGGUGCUGGGUGCUGGCUUGUUCAUCUCGUUUCUGUUCGUUCCCCGCUGGGGAGGUGGAAGUGGCCCCCGAGUCCUAACCUUGCAGGGGGCCUAGAUCCCAGCUGCAGAAGGUUGAGGGACGAUGAAAGCUUUCAAGAGGCUUUUGGUGCAUCUCAGCCUGGAGGUUGCCCGGGUUCCGGAAGAAGCUGGUCCCCGAGUUGGAGAGAGGAGCUGGGAGCUGGACCUGCGGUCAGUCGAGCAGCCGGUGUCACCCACCUUUCCAGGUCCGUGUCCUGACGCGGAAGAUGUGGGACAUUCUGGCUGUGGAGGCGGGAGGAAAUGCUUUGCGGAAAUGGCACAGGCCCUCCCUCCCAGGGGAGGCCCCCGCCUGGAUCUCGGUCUCCUGGCACACGGCUCCGCCCCGCACUUUCUUAGGGCAGAGCCCGCCGCCGCCGCAGAGUCACACCUGCUUCCGGAACUUAGAUGAUUGGGUCUGUGCCCUUGGGGCUGGUGCCCUGGAAGGAUGUGGGAGUCGUUGGGGACCUCAGAGAGACCCCCUCCUACAACGCCCAGAGAGCACGUGUUAGAGUCAUUGCAAGGCUGACCCGGCCGGUGGCGUGGGGGCUCGAGGCUCUGGUCUCCUGCUUCAGGGCGUCCCUGCAUCACCUCCCAGUGACAGUGGCUGGAGCCAGGCCUUGCUGACGGCCACUUCCUCCAAGAGACUGUCCUCUGGUCUCUCCAUCUGCGACGGGCACCUGCUGUAUGUCCUGCGUGGGGCUGGGCUCCUUGGAGGACUCUAGAGAAGAGAAUGUGCUUGCUUGCCUUUGUGGCCCCUGUGGCGUUUGGGGAAGAGGGGUUCAAGCAGAGCUUGUGGACUUGUGGUUCUAAACACCUGUAGUUUCUUCCUGCUGGUUUUCCCCUGUUGGCCCAGGAGAAACGAUUUGGACUCAGCAGCAGACGUUGUCCAAGUGACCCUUUUUCAGGAUCUCUAAAAGCGGUGCCAAAGGUCACCUCUUCUUCCUGCCUUCUCCUUUGGGGCCCCACGUCCCUCCGCCUCUUAGCUUGUGAACAGUCCUUGGGGGUGGAGGGGGACGUUUAGACAGCUGGAGCUGGGGGCGGAGAGGAGCCGUUUUUGUUUUUGUUUUGUUUGAAAGGAGCUUUUAGGAAACGCACGUGUCUGUUUGGGAUUCAGGGGGAAACGCGGGUGCGAGGCAUACGUCCUGUAACCAGGCUUCUGGGUUUCCCACCAAACCGCUCAAAUCCCCGCUUCUCUUCAUCCCUUCAUUGGCCAUCUGCCCAGGUGACACCUGUCUGUCCAUCCCUGGGCAAGACUCGGGUCACUCUCCCCCUUUCCCGCUGUCUGGUUAGGCACUGCGUGUGUGUGUGUGUCUAUGUGUGUGUUGGAUGUAUUUUCAGACGGAGGGGCCCGCAGCUCUUGAGGAGAGCUCUUGUCAUAUUCUCGUCAUUUGUCCCACUUUCUGGCUCCUCCUCUGGCCAUUGGCACCGACUCUGAACUUUGGCUCUUGAGGCUGAUCCAAGUGGGGGCCGAAUGAAGGUGGGUUCGCCCUCGCCUCUGAUGGCCCGCAUCCGUGCCCACACGGAGGAGGCCUGGUCUGACCCUGGUUUGGUUGGCAGGGACCUCGAUGGGGAGGGGAGACGCGGAGAGAGCAGAAGGCUGCAGACUGGAGCCAGGACGGGGCUUGGGAGGAGGGCGGUGUAGACCGGCGGGGGGUGUCUGAGCCGCGGUCGGUCGUGGGGCCUCUGCUGUGCUGGCCAUUGACUCUCACUCCCCUGACCCUCGUCAAAUGCUGGGACCGAUGUUACCUUUGCCUGUUUGUUUUGGGCGGGCUCACCGCCUUCCUUCCUCUGUCCUGAGACUGCGCGCCAAGACCUUCCUUUCGGGGGAAAAGAAAGACUGAACCACGCCAAGGACGUUUUCAUUUCUAAUACUUGAAGUUUAUUUUUUUAUUAUUUUGAUAGCAGAUAUGCUAUUUAUUUAUUUAAUAUGUAUAAGGGAUCCUGAAAACGGAAAGCUGUAUAGAUGGGGUUUCGUUGUGGGUUGGCUUGGGGGCCUUUUACAUGUGACUUCCGACUCUGUGUGUUCUGUAUAAAUUUGUCUGAAUUAAUUACCUGGGAUGAAGCUGUGCCAGCUUUCAAACAGGGGAUGCCUAUUGGAAAUUUGUAUAUUUUGCAGUUGCCAGAACAAUAAAAUUCCUGGUUGAAAUACA